GUCCAGACUCCUACGGGAGGCAGCAGUGGGGAAUAUUGCACAAUGGGGGAAACCCUGAUGCAGCGACGCCGCGUGAGUGAAGAAGUAUUUCGGUAUGUAAAGCUCUAUCAGCAGGGAAGAAAAUGACGGUACCUGACUAAGAAGCCCCGGCUAACUACGUGCCAGCAGCCGCGGUAAUACGUAGGGGGCAAGCGUUAUCCGGAUUUACUGGGUGUAAAGGGAGCGUAGACGGCAUGGCAAGUCAGAUGUGAAAGCCCGGGGCUCAACCCCGGGACUGCAUUUGAAACUGUCAGGCUGGAGUGCAGGAGAGGUAAGUGGAAUUCCUAGUGUAGCGGUGAAAUGCGUAGAUAUUAGGAGGAACACCAGUGGCGAAGGCGGCUUACUGGACUGUAACUGGCGUUGAGGCUCGAAAGCGUGGGGAGCAAACAGGAUUAGAUACCCCAGUACA
rnacentral:rRNA from 1 species